rnacentral:misc_RNA from 1 species
GGGGCAAUCAGCUUCUCUGGGGAUAUCAAGAUUCCAUGGACUCUGAACUUCAGCAGACUUUCAAUCUUGCUGUGGAGAAUGGGAUUAACCUAUUUGAUACAGCUGAUUCUUAUGGGACUGGAAAGUUAAAUGGACAAAGUGAGAAACUUCUUGGAAAAUUCAUUCGCGAGUUUCCAGGAGACAAGCAAGUAAAGAAUGACAUCGUUAUUGCAACAAAAUUUGCAGCAUACCCAUGGCGCCUAACACCUGGACAAUUUGUGAAUGCUUGCAAGUCUUCUCUGGAAAGAAUGGAAAUCGAGCAAAUUGGAAUUGGACAAUUGCAUUGGUCAACUGCAAAUUAUGCACCUCUGCAGGAACGAGCUCUUUGGGAUGGUUUAGUUGCCAUGUACGAGAAGGGUUUAGUUCGUGCAGUA